AAAAUACUCCCUCCGUCCCAUAUUAAGUGACUAAAAUUUUCCCAAAUAUGGAUGUAUCUAUCCUAAAAGGCGUCUAGAUACAUGUAAUAGAAAGUCACUUAAUAUGGGACGGAGGGAGUACAAA
rfam:Brachypodium distachyon strain Bd21 chromosome 3, whole genome shotgun sequence.